rnacentral:lncRNA from 1 species
CAGGAGUGCGUGGAGUUCUCGAGCCGUCGUCCGUGUGAGACCCGGUGCCACCAGACGUCCGCCUAGCCAGCAGGGGUGUGUGGAGCUGCGUUCUCGAGCCGUCGUCCGUGGGAGUCCCGGUACCACCAGACGUCCUCCUAGCCAGCAGGCCGUCUAAGCCCCGCCCUUCUGCCGCCAUUGGAGAAGAUAUUCUACUACACAAGCCGACAAAGCAAUUACACCAUUCCAGAAUCAUCUGAAAGCUCGCACUGAACCUUCCUGCAGUUAAUUUUCGCUCGCGCUCUUUCAUCGUUCAAUGCGCCCGUGACGCGUGACCAACAAGACU